rnacentral:rRNA from 1 species
CUACGGGAUGCUCCAGUGAGGAAUAUUGCACAAUGGGGGGAACCCUGAUGCAGCAACGCCGCGUGGAGGAUGACGCAUUUCGGUGUGUAAACUCCUUUUAUAUGUCAAGAAAACGACGGUAGCAUAUGAAUAAGCACCGGCUAACUCCGUGCCAGCAGCCGCGGUAAUACGGAGGGUGCAAGCGUUACUCGGAAUCACUGGGCGUAAAGGACGCGUAGGCGGGUUGGAAAGUCAGGUGUGAAAUCCUACAGCUUAACUGUAGAACUGCACUUGAAACUUCUAAUCUAGAGUAUGGGAGGGGGAGAUGGAAUUAGUGGUGUAGGGGUAACAUCCGUAGAUAUCACUAGGAAUACCUAAAGCGAAGGCGAUCUCCUGGAACAUUACUGACGCUAAGGCGUGAAAGCGUGGGGAGCAAACAGGAUUAGAUACCCGUGUAGUC